rnacentral:rRNA from 1 species
GAUGAAUGCUGGCGGCGUGCCUAAUACAUGCAAGUCGAGCGAACCACUUCGGUGGUGAGCGGCGAACGGGUGAGUAACACGUAGGUUAUCUGCCCAUCAGACGGGGACAACGAUUGGAAACGAUCGCUAAUACCGGAUAGGACGAAAGUUUAAAGGUGCUUUGGCACCACUGAUGGAUGAGCCUGCGGCGCAUUAGCUAGUUGGUAGGGUAAAGGCCUACCAAGGCGACGAUGCGUAGCCGACCUGAGAGGGUGAACGGCCACACUGGGACUGAGACACGGCCCAGACUCCUACGGGAGGCAGCAGUAGGGAAUCUUCGGCAAUGGGCGAAAGCCUGACCGAGCAACGCCGCGUGAAUGAUGAAGGCCUCGGUUGUAAAUUCUGUUAUAAGGGAAGAAGUGGCUCUAGUAGG